UUAUAGGAAUGUAUUUAAGAUAUGAAAUUAACUGUCAUGAAAGUAAAAUGUCAGGAAGGAAACCAUUAAGUGACAUAUCUUUAUACUUUUUUAUUCUACCCAUAUUAAAACUCAUUAUAUAAAUUGAAGGCUAUAAAUAAAUUUAUAACAAUGAGUUAUGUUUUCCUCUAUAUAGCAGGAACAAUGCAAUGGAAAAUUUUCAAAGAUUAUUCAAAAUUAAAUCUCCUAAAUUUGAGAAGAGCUAAGAUUCUCAAGUUGCCAAAUACUCAUUCAGCACCUACUACAUGCUAGCAAUGGAUUUGAUGUUGCAUAUUGAAAUGGUGAAAUAUACAAUUUUGCAUUAUAGUUGGAUGCACUGUUUGUUCCACGAGAAGAAAGCCUAUGCCUGUCUUAUUCACCACUGGAUCUCUGAAUCGGCACGUUGCUUAGCACACAGUAAUUGUUCAAUAAGUAUUUGAGAGAAUGAACAAAUAAACAAGAUUCUGUUCCACUUUUAAAGUUAUUUUUCCCUUUGGUUUAUAAUUUGACAUGGAAUUAACCCAGAGCAGUUUUUAUUUAUUUAUUUUCAAUGACCCACCCUGUCCCCCCAGGGCAGUUUUGACCCCAGUUCAGAACUGUUGUUGAAGGCCUGCCUACCCACUGAUAGCGAGUUAUAUAAAAAAGAAAA